AGAAUCAACGCUGGCGGCGCGCUUAACACAUGCAAGUCGCACGAGAAAGUGGAGCAAUCCAUGAGUACAGUGGCGUACGGGUGAGUAACACGUGACUACCUACCCUCGAGUGGGGAAUAACCUCGGGAAACCGGGGCUAAUACCGCAUAAUGUCUUCGGACCAAAUGCGUAAGCAGCUUGAGGAGGGGUCGCGGCCGAUUAGCUAGUUGGUGAGGUAAUGGCCCACCAAGGCAAUGAUCGGUAGCCGGCCUGAGAGGGCGCACGGCCACACUGGAACUGAAACACGGUCCAGACUCCUACGGGAGGCAGCAGUGGGGAAUUUGCGCAAUGGGGGAAACCCUGACGCAGCAACGCCGCGUGGAGGAUGAAGCCCCUUGGGGUGUAAACUCCUUUCGAUCGGGACGAUUAUGACGGUACCGGAUGAAGAAGCACCGGCUAACUCUGUGCCAGCAGCCGC
rnacentral:rRNA from 1 species